rnacentral:lncRNA from 1 species
AAGCUGGGAAGAGGGUCUUCCCUUGAAUUUUGGUUCCUAAAUCAUUACCUUGUUUGUUGUUUUUUAAAAGGUAUUCGUUUGACUCCUAUGAAGAAAACCCAAAGUAGUAUUUCAAAUAUAGAUGACAACUUCAACAAAAAUAUUAAUUUCCAAGAAAAAUAUAACUUAAUACCUACAUACACAAAAACUCUCCAAACAAACCAAGACACACACUUGAGGAAACAAACAGUCAAAGAGAGACACUACACAGAAUAUCAAGGCUUGAAUGAGAAAAAUAAAUAUUCAUUUGAUGAAGGUGAGGUAAGUUGUGAGGCCAGAUAAUACCCUUACAUAUUUGCAUAAAAAUCCAAAUUAAA